CCUUGAAGCUUCGUGGUGGAGAGAGAGCACAAUAGAAAGGUUGUUAGGGAAGGUUUAUAUCAUUAAUCUCAGUUGUUGGAUUUAUUACAAUCUAAUGGCUAAGAUUUGUCCUCACAUAAAAGAUAGGUUCUCACAUAUAUAUAUAUAGAAAUGGGACCAUGUGAGAACACAUCCCUUAUGUGAGAACACAUUAUAUGUGAGAAUAAUUUAUAACCAUUGGAUCAAACAAAAUCCAAUGCUCCACAUCUAUCCCUGUCAAAAUAACGGCAUUAGUGUAAAUUUUAGAUUGUAUAUAAGAAAACUUUAAAAAAAAUUGUCCAGCUUUUUCUCUCUCUAGAUAUUGAUCUAGGUCUUGCCUUUCUUUCUCUUCUUUCCCCAAAAAUUUCUGAACGAAUACUGCUUUGAUCAUAAUGCUGAGAUAUCUUUGAAUUUCAACUUGAAUCUACAACUAUAGUUAGAAAUCGCGAAUUCUUCAUCAAAUGGAUUUAACCGAAGCUAUUGUUACAUAUGAACGAAUGAUGGUUUCAUGGGGAGGGUAAUGCAUGUGCAAAUGUGAGCAUGUCUAUUCAAGUUGCUGCUAUUUAAUCGCAGGGCUCAAGCAUUUGUGGAUAUCUACUACUUUUUCUCUUUUCAAUUCAAAAAAAAAAAAAAAAAAAGGGAAUAACCCCAUUAAGGAGGACACUGGUGGAGACUUGGAGAAGUGAAAAAUGAACAGCAGCAGAUAGCCACACAAUUUGCCGUCGUUACCUCAAUAACUUCUUCGACAGUUGACGAAGAAUUUUUAGGUGGAAGUAGUGUUUUGAUGAGAAGUGGUUGAUGGAGAGUUGACGUUGUUGUUGAUGAAUUGAGUUGCAGUUCUAUCUUGGUAGUAAAGUGAGAAUUAUUGAUCCAACAACUCUCACUCCUAGCCAUGGGUCCUUGUUAACUAAGAAUCUCCACCUAUAUUAUCGCCAUUGUUCUAUCCAUCUCUCUGGUAGCAAUUUCCAAUCCAGCUAUUAUACUUGUAGUAAAGAUGACUCUGAAGAAAAUCGUAUGCCUUAUAUCGGGGAAAACAAUAUCGUGGAAUAGAAAUGAUGAUGAUGAUGAUGGAGUGCAUAGAAUAGGAUUAUCAAAUCACGAGGAGGAUUAAAUAGUUGAGUGGCCAAGGUAAAGGUUGAAAUCGUCAAGGGGAAAUCAAUUCGGUAUGCUGGUGAACGAGUUGAACCAGGGCUCUGUUGAUUUUGGUCAAGAGGGGUUGUUUGAUGGUCUUAAAGAUCUUUAUCAUGGUCUUGAUAUUCAUCCUGAGAAAAACAGAUAACAAAUUCUAACUAGGCUCUCCAUUUUUACCUAUUUUUUUAGCAAUAUAGUUGGUGGCAUAAUUUGCUCUGUUUUAAAAAGAGAAAUGGAUUAUUAGGUAGAAUUGAACUACUUAUAAAAAAAAUUAAUGAUAUGGAGUAGAUUAUUGGGGUUAGAUUUAUGGUUUAAACAUGAAUUUAGAUUAUAUUAUUUUUAAACGUGUUUGGAGUCGAUUAGGUUGGUAAAACCAUAUUUUUGAUCAUUUUUAAACGUGUUUGCCUGCAAAGAAUUGUCUUAUGCCUUUACUCUCAGCAUGUGGCAUAUUAGAAUGAUAUUGAGAAAUCUGAACUUUAGUUAGAAAUUUUUACUUAGUAUGAAAACAAGAUUUAGCAACAACUUGAACAUAUUGUCAUGUUGACGCUCCUGUAUUUUGAUCAUUUUAUAUGCCGUGCUGAUAUUCAUAGCAUGUAAU